CUAUAUAAUUCUGAAGUCCACCUUUACUGUUGAUUGUUAUUUGGAUUAGGAUUCCAGCAGUAUUUCUAAUAUUCUACUUAGGAUUCAGUAGGAUCUUUACAAUUGUUAAAAGUGUCUGCAUGUUUAGUGCAUGUGUUUGCGAUUGGUCUGACCUAUUGAUUGAAUGAGAGAUAUUAAUGCAUUGGAUUGGCAUUCCAAGAGUUUGAUAUCAACCAAACGUUUCUUGAUUAAGCGAUUCUCUGUCUCAUCUAUCAAAUUAAACUCACCCAAUCGAUUAAACGUAUCCACUGCUUCAUUAACAAGAGUCGAUUGAACGUAUCCAUCACUUACUCGGUGCCGAUCCCACCGGCCGUCGUUAACUUCGGUGGCAGAGUGAUUGGCGGCGGCGGUGAAGAGUCGAUUCUUCCUGUUCGAACUUUCAUUUCGGUACUUGAUGCUUAUCAUAAUCUCUCCGGCUUGCCUUGGGAAAGCUAUAUCCGAAAUUUGUCACAAAGCGCUAUAAAAUUGUUGGACGCGUAUAUAUAUAUGAAUGAUUAGCUUAUGAAGGCAUUUCAAGCUGAAAGGAAAGUAUUUACAGAUCCUAUAGUCUUUUGGGAUAUAUUUAUUGCUAGAACAAAUGAGAAGCACUCUGACGCUGCUGCAUCCUACAUUGAGUUUGGAUGUGUAUAUAUAUCAUUACCUUAUGAAGAGAAAAUUGCAUGCUUCUGCAAAGGCAUUUCAAGCUGAAGGGAAAGUAUCUACAGAUCCUGUAGCUAUUGAUGCACCCGGUGGCUUUUUAUUUGAAUGGUGAUCAGUCUUUUGGGAUAUAUUUAUUGCUAUAACAAAUGAGAAGCACUCUGACGCUGCUGAAUCCUACAUUGAGAAUGAAUUACAAUAAUUGCAAUCUGGAAAGUGAAAUCUGAUCCAGUUGCAGCACAGCUUUGUGGGUUUCUUGAUUCAAAGAAAAUGAGGUCAAGUUUGAUUUUUAAUAUUUAGUUUAUUUUUUUCUUGCUUUUGGCUAAGGUCCCUAUGACCCAGUUUUGAUCGAAGCCUGGGAACAUUGGGAUGAUCAACAUGUUUCUGAAAAUGAUUACCCUAGAGCAUUUCCAGGCAAUCAGGUUGCUUUUGAUAUCAUUGAUCAAAAGAAGAGAUUAUGUUCCUGUUCAGUUUACAUUUUAAGCCCUUUAUUAUUAUUUUAUUAAGUCUAUUUCAUCACUUUGCAUUCUGUGCUACGUUGUGUUUGUUUUACAACAUGGGGGUAAGGAUCCUGAAAGGUUUGUGCUCCUGAAUUUUGACGAAGCACAGAGUCUAUUAGUUCAGGUUACGGCAGCCCUAGCAGUGGCUGAAUCAGCUAAUGAGUUCAUUUACUGUUAAACUUUGAUUAAAGCUCUGAGGAGUGCAGCAAUUUUUGGCCUUUUCUUGGGUGCUGGUAGCUUGAUACAUUCUGGGAAAUCUUACUAACUUUUCUCUUGCUACUAUGAUGAAACCAAGUUUUCUGGAGACUCCGGGUAUGGAUUUUGGAUCUGUUUAUGGCAUGUAGAGAGCAUUCAGUGAAGGAGACAUAAAGGAUGGGGUUGGGUCAUUGAUACUGAGUUUUUAUGAGAGACUCUUGGUAAUGGCAAUAUGAGCUUCAUCCACUCUCCUCACGAACAGCCUGUGAUGAUCACCACCUGCCCUACUAAGGACCGCAGGGAAGAGCUUUCCAGAUACAGAAAUAAAAAGACAAAGGAACUUUGGCAGAAGAAUCAAGGAAGGCUCUUGCAAACUGUCAACAAAGAAUUCGUGGACGGUUUGCAAAGACAGAAGAACCAGACAUGUCCAGGAGGCAAUAACUCUUAACUAAUUCGGUAAGAAGAAGAAUAGGAAUGAAAUAGCUAGGUCUGAUGAAGUGUAAUGCAAAGAAUUGAGUAGUAGUGAAGCCUGGCAAAGAGAAUUAGUGGAAAGCCUCAAGAGGUAAUGCUAAAUAAACAAGACCCCUCUCCCAACUCCAACAGAAGUAGUGUCAGAGAAACUGUUUGAAGAAAGGUAGCGGACCUCCUCAGCAAUUUAAAUUCUUUAUGUUUGGUACUUGAUGUAGAUUUCAAGGACACCAUUUGUAAAAUUCACCUCACGAUGGAUGAUUCCAACGCAACAAAGGAUGUAAGUAAAUCUACGAUUCAGAAGUUCGCAAUAAAAAUUUGACGUUUUCAAGAUUCCAGAGGUCAAGAUACAGAGAACAUAGAAAGUUUGUACCUGUGUAAAACUGUUUUACAGUUAUGAAAGGGGAAUUUAUUGUUUCUGUUAGA